UGCAUCCAAUAUUUACAUUGAAAUAGGGCAAUUGCUUAGUGCACUUCCCAAAUUGCUUCCCAUAAUUCCUGCGCCUCCCACCGGAAGCAAUAAGGAAAGUGCAUGAAGCAAUUCCAGAAAUGAAAAACACCCUUGAAUUAGAUAAAAGGUCAACACAGGCUCUGCCUGUUGCUUUGAUGAUUCAUGAUAACUCGUCGGAUCGCACGGGAUCAUUCAAAUUUUUCCCCUAUCAACUUUCGAUGGUAGGAUAGUGGCCUACCAUGGUGGUGACGGGUGACGGAGAAUUAGGGUUCGAUUUCGGAGAGGGAGCUUGAGAAACGGCUACCACAUCCAAGGAAGGCAGCA
rnacentral:ncRNA from 1 species